GACUUCACAGGACCAGGAACAGAAAGGUCUGAAGACAGAAAAAAGGAACUCUUCCAUCUUCUGUGGUUACUGGUUCACAAAAAAUGGCCCAUUCUCACACCGAAGAGCCAAGCCAUCAGAUGGCCCGUACUGCAGAGGAGCACAGGAUAGACAUAGGUCCACUACGAUUCUCCUGUUUGUCCUCCGGUUUGGCAUCAGUGGUUUCUGGCAUUUGCAUUGGACUGGCGUUCGGCAUAGUUGGAGGCCUGCUGCUGGGAUCAACGGCAGUCGCCGUGCUUCAGUGUCUGGAGAUUCUGGCUGACAACAGACCGCUUAUGGACAAUUUA